rnacentral:tRNA from 1 species
UGGAUCACCUCCUAACAGGGAGACAAUAAAUUGAUUGUGAUGUCUAAGUUAUUUAUUCUUAGGCCGCAAUCCUGUCACCUUAAGGUCGAUCGGUACCUCAGAUUUUUGAAUUAAUUUUAUAAUUGAUUCCUUGAUUUCAGUUCCUAAACUUGUCUAGGUCACACCCAACAAAGUUUUCUCCUGGGCCAUUAGCUCAGGUGGUUAGAGCGCACCCCUGAUAAGGGUGAGGUCCCUGGUUCAAGUCCAGGAUGGCCCAUUCGGUGUUGGGGGUUUAGCUCAGUUGGUAGAGCGCCUGCUUUGCAAGCAGGAUGUCAGGAGUUCGAGUCUCCUAACCUCCACUGACCGAACUUGAUUCCCAUCUCCAAUUCUUUUGGAGUUGAGCUCGAUUGGAGUGUGAUUUAGAUGUGUCCGCUGGAUGACCCCAGCUUCCUGUCAUUCCAAGUUUUAGGUUAAAGCCUUGAAUUUGGUUGAUAAGAUGCUGGGCUCGGAUCAAAUGAUCAAGCAAUUGAUGAUUUGGUUUGAAGUUCUAGCAGAACCUUGACAACUGCAUAGGUGAAGUCUGGAAAAAACAAAGCAUCUUACAGAUGCAUUGUUUUGAAUCUGAUCUUCUGAAAGGGAGAUUAGAUCUAGAACAAUGAAAAUUCUUUUGAGCAAGAGCCGAGACUCUUGAGCGUUCUUUGAUUCGUGUCGAGCGAAUCAGAGUUUGAUCUUGUUUUUAGCAAUAAAAACUUGAGAAUCUGCUUUCAACGGCGGUAAGCGUUCAGGAGGUUAAUUGGUCAAGCUACAAAGGGCUCACGGCGGAUACCUUGGCACACAGAGGCGAUGAAGG